rnacentral:tRNA from 1 species
GUGGCAUUAGCUCAAUGGUUAGAGCAUCAGGUUGUGGACCUGAGGGUUGACGGUUCGAGUCCGUUAUGCCACC